rnacentral:misc_RNA from 1 species
CCAUUAGAAGAUGGAACAGGACUAUGUCCAUAGUGCACUAGCGGAACUCCCUGUUGCAGUUGUUCUAUAUCUUGUUAGAUAUGAGAACAAUGUGAAGCAAUUCAAUUUUUGCAGUGUUUCAGGAUAAUCUUGAUAUUGAAUUCUAUUAUGUUUGUUGCUAAACUUUGUUACUUCCUACAUAUUGAUAUGAGUUGUAAAAUACAUAUUAC